rnacentral:rRNA from 1 species
AACGAACGCUGGCGGCAGGCCUAACACAUGCAAGUCGAACGCCCUCUUCGGAGGGAGUGGCAGACGGGUGGGUAACGCGUGGGAACCUACCCAAGGGUACGGAACAACUCAGGGAAACUUGAGCUAAUACCGUAUACGUCCUUAGGGAGAAAGAUUUAUCGCCCCUGGAUGGGCCCGCGUUGGAUUAGCUAGUUGGUGGGGUAAUGGCCUACCAAGGCGACGAUCCAUAGCUGGUCUGAGAGGAUGAUCAGCCACACUGGGACUGAGACACGGCCCAGACUCCUACGGGAGGCAGCAGUGGGGAAUAUUGGACAAUGGGCGCAAGCCUGAUCCAGCCAUGCCGCGUGAGUGAUGAAGGCCCUAGGGUUGUAAAACUCUUUCAGUGGUGAAGAUAAUGACGGUAACCACAGAAGAAGCUCCGGCUAACUCCGUGCCA